rnacentral:rRNA from 1 species
AUUGAACGCUGGCGGCAUGCUUUACACAUGCAAGUCGAACGGUAACAGGCCGCAAGGUGCUGACGAGUGGCGAACGGGUGAGUAAUGCAUCGGAACGUGCCCAGUCGUGGGGGAUAACGCAGCGAAAGCUGUGCUAAUACCGCAUACGAUCUAUGGAUGAAAGCGGGGGACCGUAAGGCCUCGCGCGAUUGGAGCGGCCGAUAUCAGAUUAGGUAGUUGGUGGGGUAAAGGCCUACCAAGCCGACGAUCUGUAGCUGGUCUGAGAGGACGACCAGCCACACUGGGACUGAGACACGGCCCAGACUCCUACGGGAGGCAGCAGUGGGGAAUUUUGGACAAUGGGCGAAAGCCUGAUCCAGCCAUUCCGCGUGAGUGAAGAAGGCC